CAAGGCCAUCGAACUCACCAGACAAGCUUGAAGAUGGGGACGUCCUGGAACUGUGCUUUUGUAUUGGCCAUCUUUCUCGCCAGGACUGGAGCUUCCCCUGCCAUCGUGAAUGGAACCCUGGGACACUCGGUUUCCUUGCUUCCUUCGAUCCCAGUCAGACAGGACAUGGAUGAGGUUGUGUGGAGAAGGUUAUCACCCAUAAAAAAGAUAGCUCGAUACUCACAAGGAUCGAUUAAGUACUUUAAUACCAAUCACAACAAUCGAAUAACUCUUCAUUCUGGAAACUUCAGCCUGGAAAUCCAUGAUCUGAGGAAAGAGGAUGCUGAUGAAUAUGAGGUCAUUGUUACAGAAAGAGAUUCAGGAAAAGAACGCUUAGAGCAUAUCCAACUUAAGGUGUACGAGCUUGUGUCAGGAGCAAACAUCACAGUUCAGACCACUGGGAUCUGCAACCUCACCUUGACCUGCACCGUGACCUCAGGUGACCCCACCAGCUUCAAGUGGUGGUGGGAAGGAGAAACUUUGGUAAAUGACAGCACGCGGCACAUCUGGGUACUCGGAAAUAUGCUAGAGGUUCAUCACACUGCAGAGGUCAAGGACGCUGUGUACAAAUGUGAGGCCAGGAACCCCAUCAGUAAUGGAAAGGCAGAGAUCCAGCUGAAGGACAUCUGCAAACUGGACACAUCUGGUCACGGAUUUGCAGACUGAAGCUCACCAGAUCAAGAGUUAACCGUGACCUGAAAUCCUCAGAACCAAAGAGGUAAGGAGGCUGACUGUCCCAGGGUUCCAGUCACGGUGAGAGGGGCAGCCCCACUCCCAGCUGAGGAGACAAGAGGAGACAGACAGCAGGUCAGCUCAGUGACCGGAGGAGAAAUCGGAGCUGGGAGAGUCACAGGCAAAGACGAAGACCAUGUGGCCCAUCGUCAGGCUCCUGGCCCUGUGUGGGAUGAUCGGCCUACGGUACCUUCAUCUAACAGUGGCCACAAAGCAAGGAACCGGAAAGAACCCAAUUUAAAAAAAAAUAAAAUAAAGACCAACUCCCAACGCAGAGAGAGAGGGGAAAGAAACACAAGUCAUGCAAACAAUUGAACUGAACAACAGCGUUCUGAACCAAAAAUAAGUCCUUAGAUCUGAACCGUGAAGCAGCCUGGAGUAGGCCCAAUGCCUCCAUGUUGGCAGGUGUGGAGCACAGUAACUGGGCAGUCUUCAUAGCCUCAGCGCCAUGGAAAGAGGAGAGACCAUCGGGGAGAGUGACAAUGUCUUUCCGAUCUAUCUGGGUUGUGUUACGUAUCCUGUAACUGGAUAACUCACCAGCAAAGAUAGAGAGAUCACGAGUCUCUGGACACACAGCCGUAGAUAUUACAAAUCCCCCGACAACACACGGGUCUCCUGUCAUGAUACUGACCCUCGAUCCACCCGUCUGCAGAGCUCCGAGAUCCUAGGCUUCCAAAGCUGAGCCAAAUACUUAGGCCGAGCCCCUAGUGUGCCGAACAACAAGGGAAAAAUUAAAGAUGGAAACUGAGUUGUUUCAAGAUGGAAGCAAAGGAGUCGCCAUUUAGCGCCAUCAUCAUUCUGCGCCACUCCACAGUGUUCCACUGUGUAUGGUGUUAAAGGCACCAUAAAGCCAACUGGAGUACAUCAGCUCGGUUAUUAGAAUAUACUGGAGAAGGCAUUGAAGUGUGUACACUGAGCAC